UCCAUUUGGGCGCUAGUUUUGCUGUAAAGUGCUUUGCUGCUGAGGAUUGAGCAUGGUUACGAACCCACACUCUAUCUCUGGGUUGGUUUUUGAUGUGCUGCACCACUUCAUAGCCAGAGGAAUCAGGUGAUAGGGCUUGUCCCUGUACAAGUUUAUCCACAGGACUUCUGAGUUUUCGCCCCAAGUGAAGCUCCGCAGCUGUCAAGCCUGUUGUUUCAUGUACGGAGGAGUUUAGUGCAAAUCUGAAUUCAGGAAGAGUUCUGUAAACAAGUUGGAGACAAAUUGUGAGCCUCUGUCCGAUAGAAGAAAGUCUGGAACUCCCCAGCGUGUGAGAAUUUCUUUUUGAAACAGCUUUGCAAUUACUGGUGCAGUAGCAGCACGCAUGGGAAAUAAUUCCACCCAGCGGGUGUAGUAAUCCACAAAUACUAGUCUGACAUUUCAAACAGGAUCGGAUGAAGUUCUUGACGUCGUCCCACAUUUUUGGCCAGAA